rnacentral:rRNA from 1 species
GUUGAUCCCGCCGGAGGUCACUGCUAUCGGGGUUCGAUUAAGCCAUGCGAGUCGAGAGGGUUCAGACCCUCGGCGGACUGCUCAGUAACACGUGGAUAAUCUGCCCUAUGGUGGAGGAUAACCCCGGGAAACUGGGGAUAAUACUCCAUAAGUCAGGAGUACUGGAAUGUCUCCUAACUGAAAGUUGCGGCGCCAUAGGAUGAAUCUGCGGCCGAUUAGGUAGUUGUUGGGGUAACGGCCCAACAAGCCCGUAAUCGGUACGGGUUGUGGGAGCAAGAGCCCGGAGAUGGAAUCUGAGACACGAUUCCAGGCCCUACGGGGCGCAGCAGGCGCGAAAACUUUACAAUGCAGGAAACUGUGAUAAGGGAACCCCGAGUGCCCGUACACGCGGGCUGUCCCGGUGUUUAAAACACAUCGGAAGAAAGGGCCGGGCAAGACCGGUGCCAGCCGCCGCGGUAAUACCGGCGGCUCGAGUGGUGACCACUUUUAUUGGGCUUAAAGCGUUCGUAGCUUGAUUUUUAAGUCUCUUGGGAAAUCUCAUGGCUUAACUGUGAGGCGUCUAAGAGAUACUGGGAAUCUAGGGACCGGGAGAGGUAAGAGGUACUUCAGGGGUAGAAGUGAAAUUCUGUAAUCCUUGAGGGACCACCGAUGGCGAAGGCAUCUUACCAGAACGGCUUCGACAGUGAGGAACGAAAGCUGGGGGAGCGAACGGGAUUAGAUACCCCGGUAGUCCCAGCCGUAAACUAUGCGCGUUAGGUGUGCCUGUAACUACGAGUUACCGGGGUGCCGAAGUGAAAACGUGAAACGUGCCGCCUGGGAAGUACGGUCGCAAGGCUGAAACUUAAAGGAAUUGGCGGGGGAGCACCACAACGGGUGGAGCCUGCGGUUUAAUUGGACUCAACGCCGGGCAGCUCACCGGAUAGGACAGCGGAAUGAUAGCCGGGCUGAAGACCUUGCUUGACCAGCUGAGAGGAGGUGCAUGGCCGUCGUCAGUUCGCACUGUGAAGCAUCCUGUUUAGUCAGGCAACGAGCGAGACCCCCU